rnacentral:rRNA from 1 species
AGUUUGAUCCUGGCUCAGGAUGAACGCUGGCGGCGUGCCUAAUACAUGCAAGUCGAACGAAUCUCUUUUAGAGAUGAGUGGCGAACGGGUGAGUAAUACAUAGGUAACCUGCCCCUGUGCGGGGGAUAACAGGAGGAAACUCCUGCUAAUACCGCAUAGCCAUGAGCACCGCAUGGAGCUCAUGCCAAAUAUCCUUUCGGGGAUAGCGCAGGGAUGGACCUAUGGCGCAUUAGCUGGUUGGCGGGGCAACGGCCCACCAAGGCAACGAUGCGUAGCCGGCCUGAGAGGGCGGACGGCCACAUUGGGACUGAGACACGGCCCAGACUCCUACGGGAGGCAGCAGUAGGGAAUUUUCGGCAAUGGGGGAAACCCUGACCGAGCAACGCCGCGUGAGCGAAGAAGGCCUUCGGGUCGUAAAGCUCUGUUGUAAAGGAAGAACGGCGCAUACAGGAAAUGGUAUGCGAGUGACGGUACUUUACCAGAAAGCCACGGCUAACUACGUGCCAGCAGCCGCGGUAAUACGUAGGUGGCGAGCGUUAUCCGGAAUCAUUGGGCGUAAAGAGGGAGCAGGCGGCCGCAAGGGUCUGUGGUGAAAGACCGAAGCUAAACUUCGGUAAGCCAUGGAAACCGGGCGGCUAGAGUGCGGAAGAGGAUCGUGGAAUUCCAUGUGUAGCGGUGAAAUGCGUAGAUAUAUGGAGGAACACCAGUGGCGAAGGCGACGGUCUGGGCCGCAACUGACGCUCAUUCCCGAAAGCGUGGGGAGCAAAUAGGAUUAGAUACCCUAGUAGUCCACGCCGUAAACGAUGGUCACUAAGUGUCGGGGGUCAAACCCCGGUGCUGCAGUCAACGCAAUAAGUGACCCGCCUGAGUAGUACGUUCGCAAGAAUGAAACUCAAAGGAAUUGACGGAAG